AACACCAGUUUUCAACUUUCACUUCAAUCACUUCGUCUAAUUUAACCGGCAUGAAUCCUUGCAAACCAGAAACCCUUUGUUCUUCUUCAUGAUUUCAAUGAAAAAGAAAGAAAAUAUCGUUAUACCUGCAAUUAUUGUUCCAUUUCCUUUUCCUUUUCUUCUUACUUCUU